UACGUAGGGAGCAAGCGUUGUCCGGAUUUAUUGGGCGUAAAGAGCUCGUAGGCGGCUUAGAAAGUCAGGUGUGAAACCUCCAGGCUCAACCUGGAGACGCCAAUUGAUACUUCUAUGGCUUGAGUUCGGAAGGGGAACACGGAAUUCCUGGUGUAGCGGUGAAAUGCGCAGAUAUCAGGAGGAACACCGAUGGCGAAGGCAGUGUUCUGGUCCGAAACUGACGCUGAGGAGCGAAAGCGUGGGGAGCGAACAGG
rnacentral:rRNA from 1 species